GUCGAGCGCUUCACUUCGGUGAGGAGCGGCAGACGGGUGAGUAACGCGUGGGAACAUACCUAAUAGUACGGAAUAACAGUUGGAAACGACUGCUAAUACCGUAUACGCCCUUUGGGGGAAAGAUUUAUCGCUAUUAGAUUGGCCCGCGUUGGAUUAGUUAGUUGGUGGGGUAAUGGCCUACCAAGACGACGAUCUAUAGCUGGUCUGAGAGGAUGAUCAGCCACACUGGGACUGAGACACGGCCCAGACUCCUACGGGAGGCAGCAGUGGGGAAUAUUGGACAAUGGGCGCAAGCCUGAUCCAGCCAUGCCGCGUGAGUGAUGAAGGCCUUAGGGUUGUAAAGCUCUUUCGCUAGGGAAGAUAAUGACGGUACCUAGUAAAGAAGCCCCGGCUAACUUCGUGCCAGCAGCCGCGGUAAUACGAAGGGGGCUAACGUUGUUCGGAUUUACUGGGCGUAAAGCGCACGUAGGCGGAUUAGCAAGUUAGGGGUGAAAUCCCGGAGCUCAACUCCGGAACUGCCUUUAAAACUGCUAGUCUAGAGAUCGGGAGAGGUGUAUGGAACUCCUAGUGUAGAGGUGGAAUUCGUAGAUAUUAGGAAGAACACCAGUGGCGAAGGCGA
rnacentral:rRNA from 1 species